rnacentral:rRNA from 1 species
UACGUAGGGUGCGAGCGUUAAUCGGAAUUACUGGGCGUAAAGCGUGCGCAGGCGGUGAUGUAAGACCGAUGUGAAAUCCCCGGGCUUAACCUGGGAACUGCAUUGGCGACUGCAUUGCUGGAGUAUGGCAGAGGGGGGUGGAAUUCCACGUGUAGCAGUGAAAUGCGUAGAGAUGUGGAGGAACACCGAUGGCGAAGGCAGCCCCCUGGGCCAAUACUGACGCUCAUGCACGAAAGCGUGGGGAGCAAACAGG